AACAGAAUAGUAUUCUUAUUAGGAGUUGCUAAAGACCGAACAAUUCCAGCAUGCAAAGUGUGAUAUGACAUGGUUGGGAAGAUGGGAAAAUGAGAAA